rnacentral:piRNA from 1 species
UCCUUCCUAAGUACUGCCUACACAGA